CUGAUGACAAAGAAAACGAAGACAAAGUGAAGUUGCCUGUUCUCUCUCCUCAUUCCUCACUCUCCUUAACCGGUAAACCCUAAUCCCUCAUCUCUCUCCUCUUCAGAUCUGCUCCUUCCUUCUUCCUCCUUCCUCCUCCCUCUCAAUCCACCGGAGCAACGGACGCUUAUUGAAGAGAUAGAGACUGAGGAGAGAGAAAGUGAAACAAGAAAAAAAAGAAUCCAAAAAAAGGGUUUCUUCAACUCUCCAUCUCUAAGAAGCUUAGGGUUUUUCUUUCCUUCUCAAUUCGCCUCAAUCUUUUUUGUCAAUUUCCUCCAAUUAUCAGGUUGUACAUACACAAGCCCAUUAUUUGUUUGAUGAUGCAGCAAGCCAUCAAGGAAGGGAAGUUAGUCCCUGCUGCAAAACAUUUUUGUAAUUUACGAGAGUUAGAAUAUCGGAAGAAAUGUGACUUUGAAGCUUUUGUUGUCACAUCAUACUUAUGAUCUUUCUAGUCAUCUUCAAUCUUGCGUCUUUAGACUUUUAGGGAGUUUUUGUGUAAAUUAGUUAUUUAGUUUACAAAGUACUCUGACCAUUACUAUGGAAUGACAAAAAAAAAUUAUUUCUACAA